CGAAGCGGAGACCGGAGCCGCGAGCGCCACCAGGGCAGCAGCCGCCGCAGCCGCCGCCGCUGGACAGAGGAGCCGGAGACGCGAGCGGGCGAGGUGGCGGCGGCGGCGGAGCGGGAGCGGGUACCGGGCGCGGGCAGAGCGCGGCGGCGCGGGUGUGUUCGAGAGUACAAGCCUUCAAACAUAUUUGCUAUAUUGACACUGAGCUGUCAGGGGACUCAGGCUUAUGAGGAGGUAUUGUUACACAAAACAGUGUCUAGUGAAGACGACAAGAAAGAGGGGAAAAGAUCGGAAAAAGAAGCUAAAAUACUAUAGAAAACCAUGAGAUCUAUUCGAUCUUUUGCUAAUGAUGAUCGCCAUGUUAUGGUGAAACAUUCAACAAUCUAUCCAUCUCCGGAGGAACUUGAAGCUGUUCAGAAUAUGGUAUCUACUGUUGAAUGUGCUCUUAAACAUGUCUCAGAUUGGUUGGAUGAAACAAAUAAAGGCACAAAAACAGAGGGUGAGACAGAAGCGAAGAAAGAUGAGGCUGGAGAAAACUAUUCCAAGGAUCAAGGUGGUCGGACAUUGUGUGGUGUAAUGAGGAUUGGCCUGGUUGCAAAAGGCUUGCUGAUUAAAGAUGAUAUGGACUUGGAGCUGGUUUUAAUGUGCAAAGACAAACCCACAGAGACCCUGUUAAAUACAGUCAAAGAUAAUCUUCCUAUUCAGAUUCAGAAACUCACAGAAGAGAAGUAUCAAGUGGAACAAUGUGUAAAUGAGGCAUCUAUUAUAAUUCGGAAUACAAAAGAGCCCACACUAACUUUGAAGGUGAUACUUACCUCACCUCUAAUUAGGGACGAAAUGGAGAAGAAGGAUGGAGAAAAUGUUUCGAUGAAAGAUCCUCCGGACUUAUUGGACAGGCAGAAAUGCCUGAACGCCUUGGCGUCUCUUCGACAUGCCAAAUGGUUUCAGGCAAGGGCAAAUGGAUUAAAAUCAUGUGUAAUUGUCCUCCGCAUUCUGCGUGAUUUGUGCAACAGAGUCCCCACAUGGGCACCAUUGAAAGGAUGGCCACUAGAACUUAUAUGUGAAAAGUCUAUAGGUACUUGUAAUAGACCUUUGGGCGCUGGGGAGGCCUUGAGACGAGUAAUGGAGUGUUUGGCAUCUGGAAUACUACUUCCUGGUGGUCCUGGUCUUCAUGAUCCUUGUGAGCGAGACCCAACAGAUGCUCUGAGCUAUAUGACCAUCCAGCAAAAAGAAGAUAUUACCCACAGUGCACAGCACGCACUCAGACUAUCAGCCUUUGGCCAGAUUUACAAAGUGCUGGAGAUGGACCCUCUUCCAUCUAGUAAGCCUUUUCAGAAGUAUUCCUGGUCAGUUACUGAUAAAGAAGGUGCUGGGUCUUCAGCUCUAAAGAGGCCAUUUGAAGAUGGGUUAGGGGAUGAUAAAGACCCCAAUAAGAAGAUGAAACGAAACUUAAGGAAAAUUCUGGAUAGUAAAGCAAUAGACCUUAUGAAUGCAUUAAUGAGGCUAAAUCAGAUCAGGCCUGGGCUUCAGUAUAAGCUUUUAUCUCAGUCUGGCCCUGUUCAUGCCCCAGUCUUCACAAUGUCUGUAGAUGUGGAUGGCACAACAUAUGAAGCCUCAGGACCAUCCAAGAAGACAGCAAAACUUCACGUAGCCGUGAAGGUAUUGCAGGCAAUGGGAUAUCCAACAGGCUUUGAUGCAGAUAUUGAAUGUAUGAGUUCCGAUGAAAAAUCAGAUAAUGAAAGUAAAAAUGAAACAGUGUCUUCAAACUCAAGCAAUAAUACUGGAAAUUCUACAACUGAAACCUCCAGUACCUUAGAGGUGAGAACUCAGGGCCCUAUCCUCACAGCAAGUGGCAAAAACCCUGUAAUGGAGCUCAAUGAAAAAAGAAGAGGUCUCAAGUAUGAACUCAUCUCAGAGACUGGUGGAAGCCAUGACAAACGCUUUGUAAUGGAGGUAGAAGUAGAUGGACAGAAAUUCAGAGGUGCAGGUCCAAAUAAGAAAGUGGCAAAGGCGAGUGCAGCUUUAGCUGCCUUGGAGAAGCUGUUUUCUGGACCCAAUGCGGCAAAUAAUAAGAAAAAGAAGAUUAUCCCUCAGGCAAAGGGUGUUGUGAAUACAGCUGUGUCUGCAGCAGUCCAAGCUGUUCGGGGCAGAGGAAGAGGAACUCUAACAAGGGGAGCUUUUGUUGGGGCAACAGCUGCUCCUGGCUACAUAGCUCCAGGCUAUGGAACACCAUAUGGUUACAGCACAGCUGCCCCUGCCUAUGGUUUACCCAAGAGAAUGGUUCUGUUACCCGUUAUGAAAUUUCCAACAUAUCCUGUUCCCCACUACUCAUUCUUUUAGCAAAUGACAGAAGCUAAUUCCUAUUGAACAACAAUACAGUACAAUACAGAAUGUUAGAGAAAAAGCCUUUUUAUCCUGCUUUCUUUGAACACAUACUUGAUCAAAAUUAUUUGUAAAGAACAUCUUUCCUACUUUUUGAUUUUAACAAAUGCAAAUUUAGUUCUCUAAAACUUGAAAAAAAAAAAAAAAAAAACCAGUUCUGUGAAAACGGUACCUCAUUUCUGGAAAAUAACUUAUACCAGCCCUUCUGUUCUAGGGAAAUAAAAGUCUAGCAGUUCAAAGUUUAAGUUUUAAGAGACGUAUCAGAUUAUGUAAAAUUAAAUUUGUGAAGGAUGUAUAGAGUCUCAAACACUGAUCACAAAUAAACUGCUUUGUUGUAACACAGAGUACUGCCUGGUUCCUGAUGCAGUCACUGAUUCUUAGUUGAUUGAUAUGUAUUUGCCCCAGGGCACUUUAAUUUGGGCUGUAGUUAUUUUUUUUAAUACAAUAGAGACUUUUCAUUUAAACUUUAACUUUGUAAAUAUUGAAGUGUGUAAUAAAGCCAAUAAAAUAUGGGUUUGAAUAUUGUUUUAGCUUAUUAUUUUUGAUAUGUUUUGGUAUCAAAUUACAAGGAAUUGAAAACUAAUAACUUAGCCCUAGAAGCCCAUUCACUUGUAAGCAAACUGCUAAAACAAAGCAAAGGUGAUUGUUAGUUUGAGCCAGUCUACUUACUUUGUAAGCCCUUUGUCCUCCUGUUGUACAAGGGCAUCCCCAUGAUAAAGGUUCCAUUCUGUUAUUCGAGCAUCGCUUAUUAAAAUGAUGGCACUACCCAGAGAUGGGGAAGGAGAAUGUGAUUAUCCUAGUUUAUGAAUUUCCAAGUUUUUAAAAAUAAUAAAUUAAUCAAUCGAUCACCCUCUCUUGUUCUUGUGGCCUUCUUCACUCUGUAAGAUAUUGUGUUCACUCCCUGGCUUUUUUCAUGCAGAUAGAAGAUUAGCGAUUUUGCUGGGAUUCAUUGAAGGGUCUCCUUUCCUCUUCAAUUACAUCAGAAUCUAAAGCAGCAACAGGGUCCCCAUAAAAACUUGCUCUUCAAUUGUCCCAGUUCUUGUUGAGUGCUGCUGUGAAAAGUGACAGGUUUCAGCCAUGGGUCAGCAUUUCUUUUUAAGACACCUGAUGAUGCUGGUGGAAAUGGAUCAGUGAGUAACAUUGUGCUGUUCUGUAAAGGGUGCAGACAUAAGUCCUCCACUUGCAUUCUCACCUUGUUUGGAAAGCCAAUGAUGUUACUAGAAGGUAAAUGGUUUCAUUAAGGUACUCACCCCCAUGAAGGAACAGCAGUGUGGUCCCCUGUCAAUAUUUAUAAGGCACCAUGUCUUAAAAAUGUCUGUUUUUAGUAUGAAUUAGCUUUCGUUUUCCCUGUUAAAUUCUGCUUUUGGGAACUUGACAGGGCCCAUCCAUGAGAAUGGGCUUCACAAAACAUGGCAAAUUUAUGUACCAAAUUUCUCUGGGGCCACUAAAUAAAGGUGAAACGGGCAAUGUACAACAAAUGUUAGUGUCACUGCUCAGAUAUAUAUUACACAAUGAUUAGUUUGUUUCUUCUCCUUGGUCUUUUGUCUUUAUUGGUGGUGGGUGAUACUUUAAUAAAACCUCAUCACUUGCUGGAAGUAGCUGUAACUUAUCAUUCUCAUCCUGUGCAUUAGUGGCUAGACAUAAACAAGAGGGCCCAUUUCAGCUGGGAGUUUUCAUGUUUCAUUGAUGCAUUUUGCUGACCUAUGGAUGAAACAGAGCCAUCACUGAGAAGAAAAAGCAUGGCUGAUAGUGUCCAGUUUUUAUUAAUUAAAUCUUUACAGUAGUCCUCAUUGUCUUUGGAAUACUAUUAAUUGGCAGCUGCAGCUGUAUUGUUAUUUGAAAUUGGUCAUCAAAUUUGGAUUCCACGUUGGAAUCUCUCUAGAGAUUUCUCGUUAGAAAAUUCUUUUGAAGUAGCUGACUCUGCUUCAUAACUCACGCCCUCUGUAAUGGUGAAAAGGGAGCUGUGCUGUUUUCCAACAUGAUGGCAGUCAUUUCAAAUGGUUUCUACCAAGUCUUUUUUUUUUUUCUUUUUUUAAUUUUGUUGUUUGUUGGAAGUUACUAACCAUGUUGUAAACCUGCCCAGUUGCUGCAAACUUUUACAUUUCUCUGCUUUACUUAAAAUAAUCGAGCUGUCAGUCCUUUGUUAGAAGUGGUAACCAUGCAAGUUCAACUGUUUAAAUUCUGUAAUGAAUUAAGCGUCCCCCCUCCCCACCUGUUGCCCUUCCCACCCUUCCAUUUUGUAAUGAAAAUUCCACUUACAGCUGAAAGAGCAGAGAAAUAUAAAUGAAGCUCUUGGCUUCACCAAAUUGCCUGAAAUUAACAUAAAGUUUUGCUUCUCUGCUCUUUUCUCCACUGUAGGUGGUUUUUUCAUUGACAGCCCCUAUUGCCAGCCUCUGAGCGUCGCACCAUUUAUUAUUCACUUGGGCCCUCAAGAUUUCUUCUCUGACUUCUAGAACCAUCAGGUUGUCUGGCUUGAAAUGGCAAUUUCUAUGUCUUGGUCUUAAGAGCAAUGUGACACCCUGAGGCUAUCCAGCUUUCAGACACCACUCUGACACCUUCUUUUUGAAAGCAAUGACUGAUCAUUUUAAAGAAGAGCAAUACUCUGUUCAAAGCCACGGUGUCUGUUUUAAAACUUUUCCUUUGGAAACCUAGCAAUAUCUGUACUUAACCCCUUUUUAGCAUAGUUUCUUGUCAGGGAGUUUAUAGAUGAGUGUAGAGCUUAAAAUUCGCGUGUGAGCUGUGCUAUGUUUUCACAGUUUUUACACUUUUUAGCAUAUAAAUAGUUACAUUCCUGUUAGUGUUGUUAUAAUUUCUCAGAAACAGGGGUCCUCCUCGAAGCCAUAUCCUCUGCAUGGGGACUGGCCCCAUGACUAGCCAGGGAUGUGGCUUGCAGCUUGUGUUUCCUCAGGUUGCAGGAGUACCCCAUCUCUUGUGCAAGGUAAUUGGUCCAGUAGAUUUCCAACAUACCUCAUGCUGACUAGAUGAAGUGCAUGGGUGGGGAAGUAAGGAGCUGAGUUUACAUAGUUCUGAAGUCGUUUGUAGUCUCUCUCAAAUUGUUAGCCUGGGGAACCAACCUCUGAGAGAUUUUGCUGGUAUUCACCAUUUUUUUUCUUUUUUUUUUUUUUUAAAUUUUGGGUGAAUGUUUGAAAAUCAUGAAUCAGCCACCGUUAUUAAUUGAAGAGCUAGGAAUACCUCGUUAAUGUACUUUUAAAACUGGUGUUGGACCCUCUGUGUAUUUCAGGUUAAUACUUUUAAGCAGUUUUCAGCACGUUUAUCUCACUUUAUUCUCGUUCUCCUCGGACCUUCGUAGCCAUAUCACUUGUAUAAAAUAGGCUGAGAUAUAGUGACUGUAAGCUGUGAUCUCAGUAUACAAAGAACCAACUUCAGCAAGACUCGGGGUGGUGAAUAUCGAGUCUGCGGAGACUGAAUAGACUUAAAGCAAUCCAUCUGUCUUUUCCAAGUUAGGUAGCUAGAUUAUUUAUUUCCCAUCUUAUUCAACCAUCAUGGAGUUCAUGUAACGAUGUGAGGGUUAGGCAGAUAUUUUAAUAAAGAUUUGCUUCAUUUAGGUGUGUCCCAUAAAUGCAUUUAAUUGUGUUAGAUGUUCUGUGCUAAGGCUGUAUUUGAUAUAUGUAGAUUAAAAUGAAUUUCAUGUUUCAUAUUUGUUUCUAAGUAGCAGUUUCUUUUGAUUACUCACUUUAAAGUUGCUGGAACAACUCUUGUUUUUUCCACGCAGAAUCUGUAUGUACAUUUAAUGUGGCUUUGGCAUCUAUAAAAGGUUGUACGAGGUAUAGCUAACUAGUACUGAGUGCGAUCCAGUCGUGCUGAAACAGCCCAUUGCCUAUUAGGUGCCAGGUCCUCUUCUGGGUACAAGUGAACAGAGGCUGUGACCAGUGGAAGCAUUUUAAUUCUGACAGUCUCCUUGUUGUUGGAAUUGGGCCUAUUACAAAUAUCUUGCUUUGGGAACCAGAUACCUUGUUAACUGUGGCAAAAAAGAACAUUAGCCCAGUCAUUAGUUUAAUUGUAAACUAUUUAAUAAUGUAGGCCCUCUGACAUCACUAAAAUAGGUGUCACUUGGAAAUUCACUCGUUUAAAAUAUUUCCCUGGCAGUUUUGAGAGCCCGAAACCUACUCUGGUUUACGUUCAUGGACCUCGGUCCAAUAAGUGAAUGUAAUGAAAUGAAUAACAAAUACUCCAGUCCUUUCCAGGUAGUUUUUAUAGCAGAGCAAAGGACAAAGUGGUUAAUUUAAACACUGAGCACAUUUUUUUUAAUGACAAAUGAGAAAGUUUCACCCUUAUAAUCAAUCAUUCACCAUAAUUUCCCUGUUUCCUAGAUGUCAUUAAUAACUGGAGGAAAAUCUUCAGUAGUGAGUUAGGGGAAAGAACUAAGGAGAUCCCCCCUGCCUUCCCCGCCCCCACCCCAGGAAUUAGAUUUCAAGCAAUCCAGAGCCCUAUACACCAGGGUCAUUAAGAGCAGUUAAAGCUGAAAACAACCUGCUCUGUAAAUGGUCUUCCCCUAAUUCCCAUUCAUCUUAUGCCAGUGCCUCCUGAGAGAGGGUGGGGCUAGCUCUGAAUCUCUGAAUGAGAAAGGUUCUGUGUAUUCAAACUCAUACUCUGUACAGUCUGACGCCAUGCUGUCCAGUGAACACAGAUUCCUCAGUGUUAUUAGGAGUCCUGGAGAGGAGACGGGUGGUAAAUAGAUAACAACAGCAGAGCCAAGAAACUACUGCUGAGGUAGGUUUCAAUAUUGAUGUGUUUCGCUCUAGCCCUUAUUCACAGAGCACAGAGCUGGUACUUAUAUAAGGAUGAGUCCCCUCCUUCCUUAAUAGCCUCUUCCCGAAAGACUGUUUUCAGUCAAUAAUUCCAGUUGAGUUGGUUGUAAGAAUAGAUAUCCUUUCCCACAUUAUCAUUUUAGGUAGGAACUAACAGAUUCCAUUGAUGCUUUGAAGCAGCAAUCUUCGGAGGUUUUUAAAAAUAGUACCAUAAUGCAAAUUAGGUUAUGUAAGCUUUACAGCACAGCUAGAAAUAGAGACUAGAAACCAUGUGGGAAUCUGGGCCAAAGAAUUUCUCUCCUUCCAGAACAUUCCCAUGGGGCUCAGGAAUUAGAUGAGUUAAUACACAUAAUACGUUUUGAACAGUACCUGGUGCAUAGUACGUACUCAAUAAUAUGUUGAGUGUUGUUACCAUGGUUGGCCGAGGUGAGGAUGAAUGUGAGGGGGGCGAGGCUGUGCCAAUAGGUGUUGGAGAGGCAGGUGCAUGGCCUGCUCAGGGUGGAGCUGUGUCGGUUCAUUGGUGCUGAUAGGCUUCACUGCCAGGCUUUGGGAGAGGGCUUCUGGUAUCUGGGUGUUAGACAAGAAACACACCCCAAGGACCUGGUGAGAGCUAGUGUGGUGGCGUUGCUGUAGAUCCAAGCUUAAGGAAAUUGCUCAUGCCUCUGUUACAGUAGUUAAAUUACCAGCCAGUCUGCUGCCAAGGGUUUGUAAAUACUUGUUUUCUUUGGGGGGGGGGGGGGGUUGGUAUUUAAGGGUGCUUAGAACUUCAUAAGGGCUGAUCUUAGAAUAUCUACCUGCUGAGUCCAAGUGUCCAACCAGUGCAUUAAUACUUUUUAAAAAACGUAUUUGGUUAUAGCUGCCUCCAGAAUCUAACCUUCAGGGCUUACCUGUGUUUAGUAGGUAGAAAGCAAGUUCCUUUACGGCACAGAAAGGAAAGGAGGAAACUGGUGUGCUUAAAAGGCUGUCGACUAGGAUGCUUCUCUGAAAAGCACUCCCAUAGCUUGUCUCUUCUAUUUUGCUUUGAUAUUUCUGGGGGAAAAAAUCUGCACUCAUCACCAUAUGAGGCCUCCCUUCUGCCUAUUAGUCUUAGAGAAAACCUAUCUGCCUAUCUGUUCAUCUUUCUCUUUGUCUAUCCAUUUACUUAUCCAUCUAUCUGGACACAGUUGGGAAAUUUCUUUUCGAUAAAAGGAAAAUGGGUACAUGAUGAAAUUGGUGCUUUUGGAUUAAACAGAGGGUGCACACCAUCUUAUCUUCCAUUCCUUUGUGUGUCUACAAAGAUUUCGGGGUCCUCUGCAGAAAGGUGGUCAGAUGCAUCCUUGGCUGUUGGUAAGAGGUGAGCUAAGUGGGAAACAUAGACUGGAGCCCUCAGAUGCUCCAAGUUUAUAAAAACUGUGUAUAGACAAGGACUGUUACCUUUAAGGAGGCAAAUAAGAUUUACCUCGUAGUCAAGAGGUUUUUCUUAAAUCUAAGAAAUACUUGUUUAGCUAAUGUCUUGGCAAGAGUUAGUGCAUUCCCCCCAGGGGAGGCUGUUUGGUGGAGUCUUUGCCCUGGUCAGCCAGCAUUGAGGGAGGACGACUUUUUUUGCCUUGACUGAUCAGUCGUUAACAGUCUAAUUAAGACCUUCUGAGGAGGGUCUUGGUCUCUCUUGGCAGAACUUUGCCAUUUCUGCAAAUGAACUGUGCCAUCCUGCUGGUGGGCAGGGUGAAUAUAGCCACCAUUUGCCCAGGCAGUUUCACACUGGACUAAAGUUCUCUGCAUUCAGGUGUCAGCUAAAUGCCCCAAGUAAUGAGGUGAACAGUAGCCCUCAGUUUAGGUCAUUUGGGGCAGCAGUAGAUUGAAGAAGUAGGAAGGGAAGGGGAAGGAGAGAUGCCACCAUUUGUAUCUUGUGUGCCAGGCAUUUGGACAUUUUUCUGGAUUCUCCAACUGCCUUCUUGGAAGUAGUAGUAUCCCUAGUUUACAAAAGAAACUGAUGCUCCGAGUUAAGUGCUAGAACCAUUAAUGGAACCUAGCUCUGUUCUAAAGCUUUUUCUGUUCCAUCCGCUGUGGAUUACAAGGCUGGGGUUGACAGGACGGGCUCUCCUGGAAGCUAGGCCCUCUGACUUGAGGUGCCUCCAGAUCAGAUAAACUGGCCUAAAAUAGGGCUCUUUUCAUUUAAAUUGGUUGUGAAGAACGAUCUAACAUACUGGAAGGACAGACUGAACGGCUGCAUUGCAUCUGUAUCAACAGAGGAAGCAUUUUUAUCUCAAGCUUGUUUUUCUCUGAAUUUCAGUGAAAUCUGAGGUAUGUAUUUUCACUUAGCUUAUAUUUUCUGAGUGCAUGUUCUCUGCCUGGCCUGAGAUAGGUCAUGAGGAUGUCUUCAACAAUUGAAGCCAGACUCUGAAGGCAGGCUGGUGAGGCUUUGACUCAUUGGGUACAAGGAAGAGGAGCACAGAGGGGCAGCAGCCCAGGUCUGGGGUAUAAGUGCAAGGGGGGUGUCCCUGGACAAGUACUCAGCAGAGAUGGGUGGUGACAGACUGCAGAGGUCAGUGGUCAUUGCCAGGAGUCUUCCUUGAGUAGGCCUCAGGGCAGACUGCCAGCCUGGAGUUUGCUGUCUUUCCUCUAAGUUGGACCCGUGUAUGGUAAGCCCUGCUUGGGAUGGCUUUGGGGUCUCUAAAUUGCUGCCUGUGAACCACCCUGUUGAACGUGUCGGAUUCUUCUGCUGCUGUAAACCACUUUACCAGCUCCUUGGCUAAUGAAUGACAGCUGGGUCUCUGCUUAGGCAUGGGUGGGUGCAGGGAUGGCUGCGGGAUCCUUUUCAGGGAAAGGUAUUCCUCAUCCACCCCAAGUCAUCAUCUUUCUUGGCAUUUGGCAAUGUUUCUGUGCACCCUGCUGUAAUCCUGGAGGGGAACAGGGAAAAGGGGAACAACCUUUGAAACCCAGGUUGUCGUGUUCUAGAUCAUGACUGUGUCAGGGAGAAUGAGCUCCUGGCAUUCGUAGAACACAGUCCUCUCUGAAGCCCUUUCCUACUUGUCACCUCAUGGCUUGCUGCACUGGUAGCCCUUGGAGAAGCGCAGUGCAUAGAUUGUCGUUCCCAGAGCGGAGCCCAGAGAUCUCUCCAAACCACCCUGCUCGUCUGUGGGAAAACAUUGUGGCUCCUAACUAGUUUUUAACCACCAGAAGAAUAACAUUUCUUAGACUGUUUUUAGAGUUAACAGCAGCCCUUUCUGAGGAAUUAGUUUUGAAUUUCACCACAACUGGAAUUAGAAAUUUUCUCCUUUUACAGAUGAGGAAACGGAUGCUUAGAUAAGGUGACCUGCCCCAAAUUAUAGUGCAGUGACUGGCAGCGCUCACCCAGUCUGAGGCUAUGCUCUGAGCAGGUGGUUUGCGUCGCUAGUGCGGACCAACGUCUGUUCUGUCUCCCAGGCCCACUUGGCAGCAGUGGCUUCUCUGUGAUGUGUUCUGCUCACCUUUCCUCUAGGCUUCUGGGCUAUCCCCUGUGCGCCUUGAAACCAAGCAAAAACCAACCCACGUCUCCCUGAUCCUUCCUCAGGCCCCUAAAAUCCAGACUUCCUGGCUCAUUCUGUUUCUGGUUCCUUUGUUAGUGUGCUACUGGACAAGGUGACCAAGUGGUCAGCUCUGGGCCCGGCAGCCUGGGUUUUUUUUUUUUUUUUUUUUGCCAGCUACACAGUUGGGGUCAGUUUCUACAGAUCAUCAUUUCAUGCUGUAACUGAACCCUAUAAUAAAGUGCAAAUUCGUUAAUGGCCACUUGGAGAGCUCCUCAGGGUGGGAAGGAGGACAGGGGAUGUACUGUUGGAAGUAUGUUAUGUUCAGACUCAUCUACAUUUUGGUUUUUGGCCACAUCCUCCGUUCCUGGCUCGGCCUUCAAACAUGUACUCUAACCCAUGGGAUCACGGUCACAGUAACACAUUUUCCAGAGCAAUCUGGUGUUGGGAUCCCCUUGGAUUCUUCUGUCAUGAGACUUCUCAGAAGUCUCAGGAAACUGAGGGAACUCAGGAAAGCUGAAAGCACCUUGAAAUGAGAUGGAAGGACCAGGUUAAGGCUGGUGAAGAGGAGACUGGAGAGAACGUGGGCACUCCCACCAGGUAUUUUUAAGGGAUUAUAUUUAUUUAUUGUAUGUAGUUCCAAAGCGUAAAAGACAAUUAUGGGAAGCCAGUGGGGCAAUUUGAGCUAAAAUACACCUCCCGCGAUGACAGACGCGGCCUUGAGAGAGCAGCUGAGGUGCGACAUGAGCUCCCUGUAAUCGGCAUGUUCCAGCAAGAAGCUGGUUGUGUGGAUGGCAAAGAGGAAAUUCUGUGGAAUGUCAGUUUGGACGAACUCUGAUGUGAUUGGUGAUGCUGCCAAGACUGUGUCUCCCUUCUUGGGCACGUAGAUUUAUUGAGAGAAAACAUUCACUGUCACCUACUGCUUCUUACCAGGCUUUGUGUUGGGGCAGAAGGAGCAGUUGGAGAAAAUGUCAGAAUUUGCAGCUUAGACAACUGAGUAGAAGGUGAAAUCAUUGACCCAGAUGGAGAGUACAGGCAGGGGAAGAAAGAGGCUCAGGGGAUUUGAACAGAAUGAGAGUCAUCCUCUUCUGUGCAGGCAGAAAGGCUUCACCGGGUCUCCCCCUCCCGGCUAGGGCUCCUCCUUGUCGGCCCUGGGCUGAUGGCUGGCAGACCCCUUCCCAGGUCUCCCGCCGAGGGCAGCAGAGGAGCCAGGCCUCAGAAGAGAAGUGCUUACUGAGUAAUUUACCAAGAUCUAUAGGCUUCCCACUGAGACAGACAGGGGAUCCCCAGGAGGGGAGUCAGAGGCAGGCCUGGCAUGCACAGAGAGAGUGUGCCCACUUGGAGAGCAUGAACGGCCUUGCCGUUGGACCUGAGAUGGUUAAGAGUGAAGUGGCAGGCGGGACACACAGUUUGCAGUCACUUCUUGAACGGCCCUGGGUGGUGUGUCCUUCAUUGAUGACCGUCGUCCAUGAUGGUAAGUUCCAGAGGGUCGAUUGGGACAGUUGGAUAGCCAAGGACCAGAGUCAGGAGGGAGGACUAAUGAGCAAGAGGCUGUUGCCAUCGGCCAGGUGAGGCAUGAGGGAGGCUGAUGGAGUGCAGCAGCAGAGGGAUGGAGAAGCAGGAAUGACAUCUCACAGGCCAGGCUCCUCUGCCGGACUGGGUAGGGAUGGGAAGAUGAUGGCCCCCAGCCCUGGGCCAAGGAACAACAGCACCCAUCCAGGGGAGGGGGACCUGCUGGAGUACUUCUGGACCACUGCUCAGUGGGCAAUAGAGAGAACAAUGGUGUCUCUGACCAGGAUGGGGGAAGGCAGGGGAGUGGAGGAAGAUACUGACAGGGUACAGAGGAGGUCGAAUGGAGCAAGGGCCAUCUCCACUGGGCUAGGAAAUGGGGCUUUGGUGGGCCACACUCCAUUGUGCUGGAGCACUCCAGCCUCUCCACUGGCAGUGGGUGGGGAGGGGCUUGUGAUCUAUCAGCAUCUUCACCCUUUCCAAGUUUCUGCUGGGCUGGGCUUUCCAGCCAGGAGUCACAGGUACCGGGUGGUCGUUCAUACUGAGGCCUUUUGCUUGGCAAAAAGUUAAUUCAGUUUUGUUCAUUUUUAACCUAAGCAAGGGUUGGAGGUUGUUGGAUUCAGCAUCUGUGGAACACAGUCUGUAGCCCAUGGGAAGGUGUGGAUAUUCUUUCCCAAGUUCUUGAAGGACGGAAAGGACUAUGAACUUGUGACCAGAGGAUUGGUUUUUGGUGUCAGAUUUCUGUCUGUCCCAGUGCUGCCACUUGCUUCGAAAUGGACAGGGAGAGCUGAAGGCCAGCGUGAGUUUCUGCACCUGUUUCCUACAGCUCUGCUGGGGACUGCAGCUCAGGUGGCAGCUGUGGACAUGGAUCCAGUCAGCCGUUGGGUGGCCAGAGCUCCAGGGCCAGGUGUCUCUUAGCUGCAAGCAGCCUUCACUGUUAAUCAGCAGGCUACACAAAUCUCACCUCUAAAGAGGUGAAAUGUGAAAAUAUGGGAAGCACCGCCUUAGACCUGUGUCCACAAAUCUUUUCUGUAAAGGGCCAGAUCGUGAGCAUUUCAGGCUUUAUGGACCAUGUGGUGUCUGCUACAGCUGCUCAGCCCUGCCACUGUAGCACAAAAGCAGCCAGAGACAGUACGUAAAUAGAUAGCAUGGCUGUGUUCUGAUAAAGCUUCAUUUACAAAUACACAGGGCCGUAGUUUGCCAACCCCUGCAAAGUAGGGAGUAUUUUGCCAAAGUUGGCUGUAUUUUGCCAACCCCUUAGACUAUAGAGAUGACUUACCCUUUGGCUUAAUCUUGACUGGAAACUUCCUUCCCAUCUGCUGCCUGGACCCAUCCACCUCUUCACAAAGGCUUCCUGAGCAUCUCCUCUGUGUGAGCACUGGCUCAAUGCAUAGGAUGGUGUAGUUCCUGCCCAUAUGGAACUUAGGUUUUGAGUGACAUCAUACAGAACAGGGCUUAGAGAAGUCCCGGGUGGUAGGGUCUCAAAGAGAAGGGCUGAGGGGGAAUCAGGAAAGCUCUGAAGGCGGGCAGCUCUGGAGUCGGGCUCAGAUGAGGAGGAGGCUGCAGUUCUCCAGGAAGGGAAACAGGACCAGAUGACGGAUGAGAUUGUGUUGAACAAUGAGGACUUCUGCAUAGUCACACAGGCUCAUGGGGUCCGCUCAUAAAGGACCAGGAGGGCCAGGCUCAGGAGCAUGGACUGGAUUCUCUGGGCAGUAGGGAGCCAUUGGACAGUUGUGCUCAGGAGGGUAAUGUGAUCACAAAUGCUUAUUAGAAAUGUCACUGGCUAUGGAGGACCAUGUCUGUGGUUCGAAGUUACACCUUUCAGUUUAGUCUGGACUUUUUGGUCAAGGUACUUUUGGUGUUAGAGUGGGGAAGAGAGGCCCAGAGAGUUGGACAGAUGUUCUGACCACUGGCUUGUAGUCAGUGAGCGCCCCACCUUUAUUUUGACAUGACAGAGCUCGACAGAAUCUUCCUUCUUCAGGCUUUUCUUUUCCUGCUGUCCUAAAGAUCAUGUACAAGGGCAGGAUAAAUGAAACAUUCUGUCUCCAAUCUAAGGUUGGCUUGGGGCCUCAGAAUAUGAAGGUAAAGAGGCGGGGACGGGCUGCCCCUUGCUUCAGAAUCCAGUCACAUGGCGGCAGUGCUCUAUGGAGCAGAUUGCUUCCUUUGUACAUGCCCUGGGCCUGUGGCCAGCAGGCCUCAGGGAAGAGGAGAUGCUGACCUCUUGUCUCCAGAGGCUGCCAGCUACUAAGGGAGGUUAAACCGACUACCCUUGGGGGUGGACUGCUCUGGGCAGGGCCUGAUGCCAGGCGUAGGGGAUUGAGGUGAAUCAGACAUGGUGGUCGCAUUGAGGAAUGCCCAGUGUAGUUGGGGUGAGGAACAAACCCACGGGUGUUUGUGGCGCUUUCUGCUGAGCAUGGUCUUUCCUCUCAGAGGGGUUUCUAGGUAUGUUGAAGGGAGCUCCCAUUCAGCGCAUUGGGGAGUUGCCAGGGACGUGAGCUGCUGCCAGUUUGACAUGAACAGAGGCUGGGAGUAGCUACCGCUGCUGUGCAUUGACAGGAGCACAGUGUCCACUGUGAAGGGGAGGGUAAGGCUGGAGAAGGAUGGCCUAAGACAAGUGCCUCCACAGAUGCUGAUUCAGUGAAGCCCCGUCAGCCCUGUGGGGGAGAUGAGGAUCACAUGCAGCUCGGAGAAGGCAAGGCACUUGCCCCCCUGCCUGAGCUGGGAGGUGGUGGCCAGUUCCACACAGCACUGUCCCAUGAUAGUGGCGAGGCGGGACCAGCUAUGGGCUAGCAGCGCUGCACCGUGACCCCCUUCCACAGGGCCCAGCCUUCCACAGGGCCCAGCCUUGUUUCUGGCCCUCCAGGACUGAGUCAGGAGGUGAAGCCUGUGGUGCUGUCCCAGCGCAGUCGGGCCAGGCGUGGGGAAAGGCAGGAGGGAGAUGUGUUGUGCUCUGAGCAGCCUGGCAGGCCCUGGAGAGGCAGGAAGCCACUGUAUGUAUACUUCAGGAACUGGGUGCUGCUUACUCUCAGUGAAGUUGUGUUUUGCUAAUCUCUGAGAAUCAGGUGAGGGAUACAGAAGAGUUGCACCUGGGUGGCUGCUGUCUUUAGACUUGUCGGGCUCCCUCUGAUACAGAAGUGCCUCUAGGAUUUUGCUGCCUGGUCUCCUCUCUUAUGGACAUGGAGUGGCUCUCAGGUUCUUAUGGUAGGUGUGGAACUUCUCAGCUCUAAGGAGGAGCACUUGCUGCAUUUUCUAGAGAAGUUUCUGGGUUCAUGGAAGGGAAACUGACAAACUGGAGCCUGGCACAGAUGGACAUUGGGUAAAGAGAAUGCAGCCCAUCCCUGGCUGCAGUGCCAGGCGUGGCCUUUCAUGUGGCAGCAAAUCACUUCCUGUGUCUCCAGCUUCAUAGGAAGGCUCUUGUCUGUCAGGCAGUGGAGUUCCAGACAAGAGCCUUGCUCAGGCCAGCCCUGCCCCUGCCUCUGCCUGCAGGCACAGGCGCUUUGCCAUCUGCCCUGUUUUCCUGCUUAGGGAAACAUGAUGGUCAGAACAUUUCUUGACUCUAACCAAAAUAUUUCUGCUGCUUUUGCAAGUCAGAUUCUUUUUCUUUUCAUUGUUCACGGAAAUGGAUCAAGAACAGGAGUUUUAGCGAGAGAGGUGGUGAGAAGUUCCUUCUCCACCUGUAAUUUGCAAAUUGUGUUUUAGGUUUCCAGCCUCUUUCCUCUGUUCUGGGUAUCUUGUGCUCUCCACCCUUGAGGGAUUUUGGUGUGGUGGGUCAGUGGCAAGACACUCGAUCCAGACACACACAUUUCCAAGGCACUUUCAUGUCACUUACCAAGCCUCCUUGUGUGCAGGUAUCAAUUCACUGGCUCCCUUAGGCUGCAGCCCUGACCCCCAAGGUAGUGAUGGCAGCCGGUGCACGAGGUAUGAUUUGGAAGUAACCAGGCAAGCCCUGGUUGCAAAAAAUACCUCUUCUGUCCCAACAGUAGGCCAGAGGUGCUGCCAUUAGACGCAUCCCUCUACCUACCCCCGAUCACUUUUCAUGCUCAGGCCAGCCUUGCACAAUCAGGUUCCGUUCACUCUGCACCCCCAUUUCUUAGAUGGGGUACUGAGCACUGCUUUUCCUUUAGCUCAAUUAAUAUGGCAGCUUCUCAGGGAUGGAACCUACCAUGGCUGUAGGAGAUGCUUCGCUACUACUUACUACCUUUCCUAGGGAGGGCAGCUCAUUUUUAGAAAUGCUGCUGGGGAGCCAAAUUGUAGGCAUCCAACCAGAGGGCCUCGCUCUCUUUGUCUCCCAGGAAUCAAGGGUAGCUCUGGCUCUCUGAGGAGCUGUCUCCAGCCUCCAGGUGGACGUCCUUUCCAGCAUACCAGGGCUUAUGGAGGCAAAAUGAAAGCUGGUCCACGUGGGAACUCCCUGCUGGUGUCCUUUCCUUGGGGAGACAUCAUAUACUUUUUAGCCCCUAGCAGUGUUCAUCCUGUUUUCCCCAAAGCAUCCUUGGACUCAGGCCUUUCAUCCUGGACCCAUCUGUCUGGCCUGUUGUGCUGAACCUUUGGUCUAAGUGGUUGGUUGGUCCCAGCCACUUCUUCAAAAGAAGGUUUCCUAAGGUAAUCAUCAGUUACGGCAGUUGUACUUCCAGGAACAGUGAGGCUGAUGGGCCUGUUCCCAAGGGUGCCUUGGCAGGGGGUGCCAGGGAAGGGGCUGGCCUAGGGCCAGGUUCAUCAUACCGUUAGCCCUACAGCCCCAUGCCUUUGUGUCCUGGUUUACCCGCCGUGUAGUGGUCCUGCAGGAGUGGAGCCUGUAGGACUUGCUUCUCACCCACUCCAAGCAGAACUGUCGGGGAAGGAGGUGGGAGGUGCAGCCAGUCUAGACCUGAAGCUCUCACACUAAGGAGUAAGGUAGGCCUGCUCAGCCUUAGCCCUUCGUCAGCUCCAAGGAUGGGGUACGCAGGAGGAGGCUGAGCGUAGUCGUGGAUAGAAACCUUUCCCUACUGCACGAUCACACACAUGGCAUUGGACUCCUGGCUGUAGCUCACUCGGGUCUACUGAAGACAAAGUUAGUUUUUAGAAAUCUAUUUAAAGUAUCUAUCAUGUAUCUAUUUACUGUGUUUUUCUGAAUACGCAAGUGUAAAUAGUAUAAUUUGCAGUGCAAAGUCCUUGGCAAUAAAUUUGUGUAUUAUGUUUAAAAACACUGGAAACCACGACCACCAUGGAUUGCCCUUCCCCUCUGAGGCAAUUAUUACAUGUAGGACUCUGAACUUUAAACCUUCAGCGUGACUGAAGCAGCAGCCUGCACAUGUGGACGGUCAUCAGUGCCUCGCCCAGAGAUGCCUGGCCUUCAUCCAAAGGGACCCUGCUGCCACAAGUCCUCCAGGCAGCACCCACACUGUGGCUCCUUCGCGCUGAGUAUGUUGGACUCUGCCAUAGACUGACCCUCUGUCUGGCUGCUGCAGUUUGUCUGUAAUGCCCUGACAUAUUGCAUUUUCCCCAUUUGGAUAAAUAAAAACAAAUGCUUCUGUCACACACA